UACGGAGGGUGCAAGCGUUACUCGGAAUCACUGGGCGUAAAGGACGCGUAGGCGGGUUGGUAAGUCUGAUGUGAAAUCCUAUGGCUCAACCAUAGAACUGCAUUGGAAACUACCGACCUAGAGUAUGGGAGGGGGAGAUGGAAUUAGUGGUGUAGGGGUAAAAUCCGUAGAUAUCACUAGGAAUACCGAAAGCGAAGGCGAUCUCCUGGAACAUUACUGACGCUAAGGCGUGAAAGCGUGGGGAGCAAACAGGAUUAGAUACCCUGGUAGUCCACGCCCUAAACGAUGUUCACUAGUCGUCGGGAUGCUAGUCAUCCCGGUGAUGCACUUAACAGAUUAAGUGAACCGCCUGGGGAGUACGGUCGCAAGAUUAAAACUCAAAGGAAUAGACGGGGACCCGCACAAGUGGUGGAGCAUGUGGUUUAAUUCGAAGAUACGCGAAGAACCUUACCUAGCCUUGACAUUGAUAGAACGGACCAGAGAUGGACCGGUGCCCUUCGGGGAGCUUGAAAACAGGUGCUGCACGGCUGUCGUCAGCUCGUGUCGUGAGAUGUUGGGUUAAGUCCCGCAACGAGCGCAACCCUCGUCUUUAGUUGCCAGCAGGUUAAGCUGGGCACUCUAAAGAGACUGCCUUCGUAAGGAGGAGGAAGGUGAGGACGACGUCAAGUCAUCAUGGCCCUUAUGGCUAGGGCUACACACGUGCUACAAUGGGGCGUACAGAGAGUUGCGAUACCGCGAGGUGGAGCCAAUCUCACAAAGCGUCUCUCAGUUCGGAUUGUAGUCUGCAACUCGACUACAUGAAGCUGGAAUCA
rnacentral:rRNA from 1 species